rnacentral:rRNA from 1 species
GACGAACGCUGGCGGCGUGCUUAACACAUGCAAGUCGAACGGUGAAGCGCCGUCCUUUCUGGUCGGUGUGGAUGAGUGGCGAACGGGGGAAUAACACGUGAGUAACCUGCUCCCUCCUUCUGGACAACCGCAUGCAAGUGUGGCUAAUACAGGAUAUUCUGGAUCUGUUGCAUGAUGGGUCUGGGACAGAUUUUGUUUCGGUGGGGGAUGGGCUCGCGGCCUAUCAGCUUGUUGGUGGGGUGAUGGCCUACCAAGGCGGUGACGAGUAGCCGGCCUGAGAGGAUCGACGGCCAUGCAGGUGCGGCAACACGGCCCCUCCUCCGAGAGGAGGCAGCAGGGAAUAUUACUGCACAGUCGGAGGAAGCACGGUGCAGCGACGCGGCGUGGGUGAUGGAGGCCGGCGGGUUGAGAACCGCUAUCGGGGAUGAAGCAGGGCUGCAGUGUCUGUGGGCGGGUUGACGGUAGCUGGAUAAGAAGCGCCGGCUAACUACGUG